rnacentral:rRNA from 1 species
AGAGUGAACGCUGGCGGUAGGCCUAACACAUGCAAGUCGAACGGCAGCACAGUGGUAGCAAUACCAUGGGUGGCGAGUGGCGGACGGGUGAGGAAUACAUCGGAAUCUACCUUUUCGUGGGGGAUAACGUAGGGGAAACUUACGCUAAUACCGCAUACGCCCUUUGGGGGAAAGCCGGGGAUCGCAAGACCUGGCGCGGAUAGAUGAGCCGAUGUCGGAUUAGCUAGUUGGUGAGGUAAUGGCUCACCAAGGCGACGAUCCGUAGCUGGUCUGAGAGGAUGAUCAGCCACACUGGAACUGAGACACGGUCCAGACUCCUACGGGAGGCAGCAGUGGGAAUAGUUGGACAAGUGGGCGCAAGCCUGAUCCAGCCAUACCGCGUGGGUAGAAGAGG